rnacentral:rRNA from 1 species
AUUGAACGCUGGCGGCAUGCCUUACACAUGCAAGUCGAACGGUAACGCGGGGCAACCUGGCGACGAGUGGCGAACGGGUGAGUAAUACAUCGGAACGUGCCCCGUAGUGGGGGAUAGCCCGGCGAAAGCCGGAUUAAUACCGCAUACGACCUCAGGGUGAAAGCGGGGGAUCGCAAGACCUCGCGCCAUUGGAGCGGCCGAUGGCAGAGUAGGAAGUUGGUGGGGUAAAGGCCUACCAAGCCGACGAUCUGUAGCUGGUGGGAGAGGACGAACAGCCACACGGGGACUGAGACACGGCCCAGACUCCUACGGGAGGCAGCAGUGGGGAAUUUUGGACAAUGGGCGCAAGCCUGAUCCAGCCAUGCCGCGUGCGGGAAGAAGGCCUUCGGGUUGUAAACCGCUUUUGUCAGGGAAGAAACGCUCCGGGCUAAUACCCCGGGGUAAUGACGGUACCUAAAGAAUAAGCACCGGCUAACUACGUGCCAGCCGCCGCGGUAA